UUGCUUUCCCACAAGCUGUUUGCAGGUCACAUACUGAUGAAGGGCAGAGAGAAAGUCCUCGUAAGUGAUGUUUAGGUGGAAAGGCAAAAAGACAACCUCAAUCUGCUGUGCUAGGUAAGAAAGCUUAAUGUGCUGUCCACAAGACCAAACCUCAGUACUAAAUCAGGAUCAGGGAAACCAUUUGAACUGAGUAAACUGUCUAACGUAGCUCUAUCCAUAUCUGUAGGUCUCGUUUGCUGCCGGGCUAUGAACUCGCAAAAAGUAGCUCUCAUAAUAUCUGCUUUUCCAUCUUCUGGCGACAGCACCACCACUGCCAAAUGGCAGUUUAAAACUUGAUCGUCUUUGUCAUUACCAUUUGCAAACUCUGGUAUGCGGAGACCAGAGCCAAGGGGCUGUUUUCCUGCGGGAAUUUACACUGAUUCGAAGAGAGAGCCUUCAUGAAGAUUUCCUGUCUGACCUCUUGAAUAGUCACAAAACUGAAGACUUGCAAGGGGGUAACUCAGCACCUUGGAAGGAGGGGGAGAUGCCAAGGUUGAACCACAUGCCUGUGUACAGAUGAUGAAACAGAGAGUAUAAAGACAAGACCUAGAGUGCAGAGACAAGAGUAACAGCUAGAGCACAGAGACAAGACCUGUACCAGGUAGGUCCCCAAAGCCCAGAUCCUUCUGCUACAUUCUGCACAGAGGGAUGCAGUUCAACCCUGGCAUCUUCUAUACAGACUACUAAAACUUUUUCCAUAUCAGCAGAAAGUUUCUUUCACUUUCUCAUGUGUUUACUGGAGUAGCACUUUUAAUUUCAUCAAUAACUUUUCCUUUGCACUCACAACUUGGCUAACUGUUUGGUGCAAGAGGCCUAGCUCUCAGUCUAUCUCAGCUUCUUUUGACAUGCUUUUCUCACUAAGAUUAAUCAUUUCUGGCUUUUGAUUUAAAGUGAGAGAUGUGCAACCUUUCCUUUCACUUAAACACAUAGAGGACAUUGUAGGGUCAUUAACUGGCCUAAUUUCAAUAUUGUUGUGUCUCAGGGAAUAGGGAGGCCAAAAGAGAGGAAAAGAAAAUGACUGGUCAGUAGAGUAUCAGAACAUAUACAGCAUUGAUUACGUUUGCUGUCUUAUCCAGGCAUGGUGUGUGGUGACCCAGAACAAUUUCAAUACUGAUGUUAUGUUGAUCUGUGUCUAACAGAAAUAAUAACUCUGAAAGAGUUUGAAAUGGCGUGAGAAUUACCAAAAUGUGAUGCAAAGACAUGAAGUGAAGACAUGCUGUUGGAAAAAUAGCACCAAUAGACUUGUUUGAGUCAGGGUUGUCACGAAUUUUCAAUUUGUAAAAAUGCAAUACAUGCAAAGUGCAGUGAAGCAAAGCAUGAUAAAGAGAGGUGUGCCUGUAUCUAUUAUUAAUCAUAGUCACCAUGCUGUACAGUAGAUCUAAAAAAAAUCCCCAAUAUAUUCCUUCUGUCUGAGAUAUUGUACCCUUUGACCUCUAUCUCCCAUUCCUACCUCCUACCACCCCCAGCCUGCGUAACCACCAUUCUAUCUGCUUCUAUGAGUUAGGUGGUUCUAGAUUCCACAUAUAAGAAAGAACAUGUGAUGCUUGUUUUUCAGUGACUGGCUUAUUUAACUUAGCCUCGUGUUCUUCAUUUCCAAUUGUCUCGAUAUUACAAGAACUAGAAAUUUCCAUUGAGACGCCAGUAUUUGUAGAAAAGUUGUCAUCCCUUAUGUAAUGGAAGAUAUUUAUUCUGGGUCAAUUCAGUUUGGCAAUAUUGCUUCCUUAUAACUUGUUUGUGCUUCAGAACUAGUCAAGUAGUAUGAAUAAUGAAGGAACACUUUUUUCCUUCUUUUUCUUUUUGUUUGUUCUUGACUUACUUAACCUAUAAUGCAAUGGACUUUUGUAGUUUCCAAUAGAGAUAACUUCAGAUAGGAAUAAACCCCAAUGUUCUAACAUGGAGGAGACACAUAGGAAUAUUUUGAUUGGAUGCAGGGGAACAUUUAGAAGGUCUUGCUCAUAAGUUGAUAAUAAUGAUUGGGGUUUUUUGGUUUGUUUUUUCGUUGUGUAGAGAAUAUUUUCCAGCAGAGUCAAGCAGUUCUGGUAACGUUAGUUAAGGCUAAAUUAAGCCCUAUUAGAGUAAGUGGUGAUCCCAGUAGUAAGAUUUUAAGAGGACCAGAAAAGGCCUCUUUAUUCUGCUAUCUAUUAAACUUAGGUAUAAGAAUUAUUAACAUUAGAGAGUCAUUCUCAGAAUUUGUGUCCUUUUGGCACGCACUGAAAAUGCAACAAUGCCAGUGGGCAUUAUUAAACUAAUUUACAGUAAGGUGCCGGUGAUCUUUCCAGCCCACUUUCUUGUAAAAGGUGAGAUUGAGCCUGACGGUGGUGCAGAAGGGAAACAGAAUCAAAAGAGAUAAAAACAUCAUGAUAUCAAAUUCAGAGUGAGCUAUGGACAGUCCAAAUGGGUAUGAUAGAACUUGUCUGUUUUUAUCUAUAAAGGUGUUGCAAAUAAUUUCUCUUAUGCUUGAAGAGGUAGCUGCUAAGUAAUGUUCCACUGUGAGAAUUAUGUUGUUUUUAUUGUGAAUGAAAAAACUGUUUCAUUCCAAUAUUUUUUGUAGAUAGAAUAUGUUUGGUGGGAAAUUAAAGAGAAUCCUUAUUCUAAUAGUGUUUUAGUUAAGCAAUACUUAAAAGACCUGUUAUUUAUUUAUUUAUUUUUGAGACAGAGUCUCACUUUGUUGCCAGGCUAGAGUGAGUGCUGUGGCGUCAGCCUAGCUCACAGCAACCUCAAACUCCUGGGCUCAAGCAAUCCUACUGCCUCAGCCUCCCGAAUAGCUAGGACUACAGGCAUGGGCUACCAUGCCUGGCUAAUUUUUUCUAUAUAUAUAUACUAUUUGGCCAAUUAAUUUCUUUCUAUUUAUAGUAGACGAGGUCUUGCUCUUGCUCAGGCUGGUUUCGAACUCAUGACCUUGAGCAAUCCGCCUGCUCGGCCUCCCAGAGUGCUAAGAUUACAGGCGUGAGCCACCGCACCUGGCCCAGAGACGUUUAAUUUAUAAGUUGCAUUUUCACCACUGCUUCUUUUGGGAACAAUAUAACGGUGUUGUUGGUAUGAAAACAUGGAUAGACAUUUUAUAAGACUGGCAAAGGAAAUACAGUGGUGAAGGAUAGACCAUAACCGAGUUGAAUGAACACUGAGCCUUUUUACACACUGAUUAAGUGAUUAUUUAAUAUUGUAGGCAAUAUUUCAAUAUCAGGUACAUUCUUUAAAAAUUCAACAAAAUGGUCUGUAUUUUCCCCUCAUAUUUGGGUCUAAGUCAUACAUAUCUAUACCUGUCAGACAGUCUCUUGACUCAGUUGGCCUUUCCACUGCAUGGCCUGAAUUGUCCGUGGCCAUAAGCCAGAAUAAAUGGCUUGUGUUUUGUGUUACCAGGAUGAGAGACCAUUAGAAAAGGAUGAUAUUUCCAGUGGUCAAUAAACAUUUUGCCUAUUUUCUUAUGGCUACUACAUCUAAAGUAUUGUACAACAAUAAUCGAUACUGACAGUUAUUUUCUCAUUUAUUCAUUCAUUCCCCAAACAUUUAUCCAACCCUUUCUGUCUGCCAGGUGCUGUGAUAGAGGACAGAGUUCAAACCCCUAAGGACUUAGGAUAGAGACCACAAGCCUGGGGUUUGGAGCCAGAUAGGCUGGCUUAAUAUCUGGGCUUCCCGACUCACAUAGUGACUGGUAAUAAAUUAUUUACCUUCCCCAAGUUGCUAAAUAUUCCUUUGCCUUUAUUCUUCCUCUUGUCUUCACUAUUGCCGUUUUCUGGCCUCUCUUAAUUUUAGCCACCUGUGUCCUUGAUCACAUCUUCUUAAGCUUCUUAGCCCUGUUCCAUCAUGAUACCUUGUCAAGGUUACCAUUAAUCUUGCCUUUUGCAGUAGAGCUUUUCUGCCUACUAAUAUGCCCUUCCCAAGUCUUUAUUAGCCUAAAAAAUCCAAAAUGCAUUUCUUCUCUUUUUAUAAAAUAAAUUUUAUUAUAUAUGAGGUAUACAACACACACGAUACAUAUAAACAAAAUUAACAAACCUUUAGCUACUCUAACUAGAAAAGAGAGAGCUAAGACUCAAAUAAAUAAAAAAUGAAAGCGAAAAAAUUACAACAGGUGCCUCAGAAAUAAAAAGGAUCAUAAAAGACUGUUAUGACCAAUUAUAUCCAAAAAUAUUGGAUAACCUAGAAGAAAUGGAUAAAUUUCUGAAAAAAUACAACCUAUCAAGAUUUUGUCAGGAAGAAAUAAAAAGGCCUAAACACUGAACAUACUAAUAACAAAGAGAUUGAAGAAGUAAUUACAAACCUUGCAACAGGAAGGAAGGAAGGAAGGAAGGAAGGAAGGAAGGAAGGAAGGAAGGAA
ensembl:lincRNA